rnacentral:misc_RNA from 1 species
UCCGCUUCAGUCUUUCCCCAAGCAAGAUCCUUUCUUGUGGGACGCUACGAUAUCCUGUGCUGCUUACCGAUGAAAUGGAAUUGGAUGGCUUUUCUGUGUAGAUUCGUCACGUGCCCUUUGGGGUGUGGGAUGGACAUGAURCUGGCUCCGUGUUUUCGGCGUACCCAGCGUGUUAUCGCUAGGUCGUUGUUGCCCAUGGAGUGUCAGCUUGUUAUCUCGGAUGCGGAAAGCUAUGUGUGGGCGUGAGGWCUUGACCUCAUGACGUCCAAGCACYGUCCCUUGACCCAAACGACUGCUGUGCUCGUCCUUGAUCUUCCCGACCAAGGCCUCGUAAUGGGGCUUACUGGACGAGGGUUGCUCAUGCGGGCUUCGGCGUCGAAGAGGAAUGU